AAGAUAAUCGCUUGGCUAUGUAAGCCAGGUUUUUGUGAUCAGUAAUGAUCAAAAGAGGGUCCUUGGAACCUUCUAAAAGAUGUCGCCACUCCUUGAGAGCUAGAAUAAUGGCCAACAAUUCUCUAUUGCCAAUAUUGUAAUUGCGAUCAUUAGGAGACAACUUUCUGGAAAAGUAACCACAAGGAUGUAAUGGAGUUCCCUGACUCUCCCU